rnacentral:rRNA from 1 species
GACGAACGCUGGCGGCGUGCUUAACACAUGCAAGUCGAACGAAAAGAGGGAAAGAGCCUGCUCUUUCCGGAAUUGAGUGGCAAACGGGUGAGUAACACGUAAACAACCUGCCUUCAGGAUGGGGACAACAGACGGAAACGACUGCUAAUACCGAAUAAGUUCCAAGAGCCGCAUGGCCCAUGGAAGAAAAGGUGGCCUCUACCUGUAAGCUAUCGCCUGAAGAGGGGUUUGCGUCUGAUUAGCUGGUUGGAGGGGUAACGGCCCACCAAGGCGACGAUCAGUAGCCGGUCUGAGAGGAUGAACGGCCACACUGGAACUGAGACACGGUCCAGACUCCUACGGGAGGCAGCAGGGGGGAAUCUUCCGCAAUGGGCGAAAGCCUGACGGAGCAACGCCGCGUGAGUGAGGACGGCCUUCGGGUUGUAAAACUCUGUGAUCCGGGACGAAAAGGCAGAGUGCGAAGAACAAACUGCAUUGACGGUACCGGAAAAGCAAGCCACGGCUAACUACGUG